rnacentral:rRNA from 1 species
CCUACGGGUGGCAGCAGUGGGGAAUAUUGGGCAAUGGGCGCAAGCCUGACCCAGCAACGCCGCGUGAAGGAAGAAGGCUUUCGGGUUGUAAACUUCUUUUUAGAGGGAAGAGCAGAAGACGGUACCUCUUGAAUAAGACACGGCUAACUACGUGCCAGCAGCCGCGGUAAUACGUAGGUGGCAAGCGUUGUCCGGAUUUACUGGGUGUAAAGGGCGUGUAGCCGGGCGGAUAAGUCAGAUGUGAAAUUCCGGGGCUCAACCCCGGACCUGCAUUUGAAACUGUUGGUCUUGAGUAUCGGAGCGGCAGGCGGAAUUCCUGGUGUAGCGGUGAAAUGCGUAGAUAUUAGGAGGAACACCAGUGGCGAAGGCGGCCUGCUGGACGACAACUGACGGUGAGGCGCGAAAGCGUGGGGAGCAAACAGGAUUAGAUACCCGAGUAGUC